rnacentral:rRNA from 1 species
AGGACUGCCUGAUGGAGGGGGAUAACUACUGGAAACGGUAGCUAAUACCGCAUAACGUCGCAAGACCAAGAGGGGACCUUCGGGCCUCUUGCCAUCGGAUGUGCCCAGAUGGGAUUAGCUAGUAGGUGGGGUAACGGCUCACCUAGGCGACGAUCCCUAGCUGGUCUGAGAGGAUGACCAGCCACACUGGAACUGAGACACGGUCCAG